rnacentral:rRNA from 1 species
GAUGAACGCUGGCGGCGUGCUUAACACAUGCAAGUCGAACGAAGCACUUUGUUUGAUGUCCUGCGGGACUGAUUGUUGUAUGACUGAGUGGCGGACGGGUGAGUAACGCGUGAGUAACCUGUCUUGUACAGAGGGAGAACAGAUGAAAACGUCUGCUAAUACCGCAUAAGCGCGCAUCAGGGCAUGAUUCAGUUUGAAAAGAUACGGCGGUAUAAGAUUGAACCGCGUGGGCUUAGCUUGUUGGUGAGGUAACGGCCCACCAAGGCGACGAUCCAGAGCUGACAUGGGAACGGGCCCGGCCGGAUUGGCACUGAGACACGGACUAAUCUCGUACGCAAGGGUGGAGAGGGGAAUAUUGCAAGAUGGGGGAAAGCGUGAUGAAGCGACGUAGCGUGAGAGAACCAGUGUUUCGGUAUGUACAGCUCUAACGGCAGGGCAGAUAAUGACGGUACAUGAAGAAGAAGCUCCGGCUAAAUACGUG